rnacentral:lncRNA from 13 species
AUGAAAAGAGAGAGAGAAGAGAGGAGAGAGAGAGAGAAGAGAGGAGAGAGAGAGGUGGGGGGUUGUCACAAUCAAGAGAAGAGAGAAUAUUCAUUGCGGAAACCGUUUACCGAACGGAAUAGGCGUAAUGAAUACACCCCAGAUCUAGCCCAUUUCUUAGCGAAGGGAGUCAUUUAUAGUAACGUUACACGUUAGUCUAGACUUGUAAACAAGCAGAUGUGUGAUAUUUACGAGAUCUAGCUCACUUUACGUUAGCCAACGUUAACCUAGAUGACGUGUUGAUUACAAACGUCAACAAUAGGUGGUUAACUAGCGUUGAUCUAAAAAUAAUAAUAAUACAGAAUAAAUAAAAUCAUAUGAUUACUAGCUAUGCAGCUAUCAACCAAAACGUAUGGAGAAGGACUGAAUCCAAGACGCAUUUGUUAUGUUGCCACACACCCUGUCGUAGUAGAAUAAUCUAUCUAGAUAUUUUCAGGUUAGACACAACGACACAUUGGGAACCGCUAGCUACCUAGCAUUUAGCUUACGACCACGUUAUGCAUGCUGUCAAUUCACCUGGUUGUAAACAGUAGCUAACGUUAAUUGUUUAGCUAACUAGCUAAUAACACAGGCCGUUGUAAGCAGGAGCUAACCAUAUAAGCGUUACCUGGGGUUGAAGUCCAGCCAUAUCUCCUGUUGUUAUUGUAGCUAACUAGCUAGCCGGCUCGCUAAACACACAACUCGACUUAGAAACUGACAGCUGCGCUGCCAACGUAAGAAUUCCACUUACAUUACGUAGUUUACGUAAGACAGCCUCAUAGAAAAAGCGUAAAAAGGUGCUUGAUAGAUUUAUUUUCAUUUUAUUGAACCUUUAUUUAAACUAGACAAGUCAGUUAAGAACAAAUUCUUAUGUACAAUGACAUCAUACCAAAAAGUCUCCUGCGGGGACAGGGGGCUGGGAUAUGUUUUAUUAUAUAUAGGACAAAACACACUUCACGACAAGAGAGACAUAAACUACAUAAAGAGAGACCUAAGACAACAACACAGCAUGGUAGCAGCACAUAACAACACCACAUGACAUCAACAUGGUAGCAACACAACAUGGUACAAACAUUAUUGUGCACAGACAACAGCACAAAGGGUCAAGAAGGUAGAGACAACACUACAUGAUGUGAAGCAGCCACAAAUAUUUAUCUCAAUAAAUACAAUUUAUUUGUCUUUUCAGUUGUGUUAUUUGUAGUGCAUGACGUUAUAAUAUGAUACUAUAAUUAUACCCUCCACCAUAGUAACGUUAAGGAUUUUAUGCAUCAAGAAGUUCAGUCUUAUUUUGUGGGGUGAAAUGGUCAAUAUUUACAAAUGGAGUCAAUCGAUAUCAAGUCUGAUAAGCAUGGAUAUUUCUGUUAUCAGUCAAUCAAUAGUGUGAAAAUAGGACACGUUGUUUUAUUAUGGCAAUAAAUGUACAACAUGAGUAAAAGACAAGACAAAGAUAUCAAUGUUUAGUAUCUAUUUCCCUUGCGUUGGCAAUGUAAACAUAGGUUUCCCAUGGCA